GUAGGUUGCUAUGAAAAGAAAAAUCAUGAUAUUAAAUUUUAGCAUCGAUAUUAUGGAAGCUAUGCCUGGACUCAACAACACGAACUUCUACUCACCAAGGCUGAUCUUGUACUAAUACUAAGUGCCCAACCUGACAACAGAGAAGAUGAUGAGCCUUUAUAAGACACCAUUCCUUAGGGGCAUCAGCCAGUCCCAUGGUGUUAGGAUUAUUACAUGGGACACCUUUCAUCAUCAUGAAAACAGAAACUUUUCCUCAUGGAAAUGAAUAUGUAUUUUAGACACACAUUUACCUUCUUUGCUGACAAUGAUUCUGUCAUCACCAUCUCCAUGGACUUCCAGAAUGCCUUAAUCAUCAUCAGAGUAUCCUACACAAAGUUGUCUCUGACCAAGGAACUCAUUUAAUGGGACUGCAUCCCCCAGACUCCAUUUGUAAUUGACUUCUGCUUGGGUUUGGUCAAUGGAAUGCCCUGGCACAGCUUUGGAGGGAAGAAGAGAGAAGACAAUGUAUUUCUUCACUGCUCCCACUCUGAUUUGGGCUAUGUUUUAUUGGCAGGGACUGCAUCCCUUCAAGAUUUUAGCUUCUUCCAGAAGUCCCCUCCUCCAUGACUCUAGCUCUCACUAGGCUCCAGAAAUACUAUUUCUUCCUCUUGCCCUCUUAGGCCUAGGGUAACAGCUACCUGCUAUUGCUAACCUCUGGGUGCCACAAAAUUGCUUGUUGGGUCUCAUAAUCUUGCAUAUACCUCUGUAAGUAGUCCCUACAUUAAAGUCCCUUGAACCAUCUGAUUUAGA
rnacentral:lncRNA from 10 species